AACAAAAAACAAAUUAAUUGAAAAUGGACGGAAAACGAUGAAAGUGGAGUCAGGUUGGGAGCUGAGGCUGGGAAGGUAGAGCGUAGGAGUUAAGAGGAUGCCGGAAAAAUACACACGUAUACAAGGAAAUGGCAGCAGAAUUAACAUCAAUUGGAAUUACUGUCUCUGUCCAAGAAGUAAAAUUCAAAAUGCAGAAUAUGAUUUCCAAAUACAAAAAAGUGAAAUGUGACCUUCCAGAGCUUCGCCGCCAGCAUGGCCGCUAUUUGAAAAGCUCCACAAAAUAAUUUGGCGGCUAUCGCUCAUCCAAUGUGGCGGUCGUUGUGGAGGAUAGCCUGAAUGUGGACUGCAAUAAAUAUAGAAAGAAUUAGUGGAUAAGGAUAAACAAACAAACUGAGAGCAUAUCCGCAAUGUCUGAAACUAGCCAGCAAUUGGCAGCAAAGAUUAUUGAAUUUUUAAAUAAAAAAUAAUUACAUAUCAUUUAGAUGGGGCGAUUUUGUAAGCGAUUCAAUAUAGCAUGAAAAGUUGAAAGCGAUUUUAUCUCUUUCUAGAAAAUUGAAACUCAAUAUACACAAGCGAUUUUAUUGAAUGCGAGGUUAAGUCGCAUAGAGAAUCGCCUCAUCUAAAUGCUGCUUUACUUUUCAACAAAGUGUUCACUUAAAGCGUUUCGAUAAGUGUCUCGCGGGUUCAAUCUCGUCUCAUUCUGUUGUACUAUUCUACUUGGCUCUUCAGUGCUAACGGUGUCAGAAAGCCAACUAUGGUUUGCUGCAAUUAAAAAAUUGUGGAGUACGCAGUAGGCUUUUAUGAUGGCAUUUGUUUUGUCGAUACGGUUAUCCAACCCCUUUCCGAUGCGUCGGAAUCUGCAUUUCAAAUGACCAAAUGCAUUUUUAACAACCCUUCGGCAAUGAGAAAGGCGGAAGUUGAAUUCGCGUUGAGCACCUGUACUUACCAAAC